GUUCCAGUAGCUCAACAGGAUAGAGCAGCGGCCUUCUAAGCCGCCGGUUGGGGGUUCGAGUCCCUCCUGGAACG
rnacentral:tRNA from 1 species